rnacentral:lncRNA from 1 species
AUGGAGCGAGCAAUAGUUAUUGUCGUUGCACUUGUAUGUGUUUUGUUCUGUGAACAGCAGAGAGUCUUUGGGGCAGAAGUGAACAUGAGAGUUAAAGCAGGAGACAACAUCACUCUCUACUCUGACUGUGUCAUACCAUUAGGAUCGCACAUUUUUUGGUGGAGAAACUGCUCACAUGAGCAUCAACCAUCUCUGUUAAUAGAGGCUGACAACCUGUUCCAGGGGACAUUUCCACGUUUUAGUUUUGUGCUCAACAGCUCCAGUAACUCCUAUGAUCUACAUAUUACAAACAUCAGCAUCUCUGACGAGGGACUGUAUUAUUGUGCAAUAAAAGAAAGGAAAGUACAUGAUAUACACAACAUCGUAGGAUCUGAGUACCAGUAUGGAAACAGAAAGACUCGUCUUUCUCUCUUGGAGACAGCGUCUCCUCAUGCUGAGAGGUUUAACAGCACCUCCACACCUCCUGUAUCAGACCAUUGCUGGAAUCCACUGUUCAGUGUGUGUCCGGUGUGUGUUCUCCUCUGCUCUGUCUGUGUUUUCUGGCCUCUGUCGGAGGAAAGCUACAGUUGCUGCAGCAACACAGACUGAGAACAGAUAUUAUGAGAGUGAAGAUGAAGUGUGCUACGCCUCAUUGAACACACUUUCCAUGCUGAAGAAAAAGACAUUGCAGAAUUCUGAUUUGUGUACUUACACUGAGGUCCAAACCAAAAGAACAUAGAGGAUUCUAGAACUCACUAAGGCUUGAAAUAUUUAACCCUCGGUUGUUCUAAACCCUGGAAAACGCAAUCAUGGCUCCUUGCUUCACAUUUCACACUUUUCAUUAUAAUUAACCUGGGGAUAAUUAAUCCUGGGUAUUCAGAAACAGAAACCCUGGGUUAAUAUUCUUAUUUGCAUAUUUGCAGUGUCAGUGUCAUUGAUUAGACGAAUGCAGCACUUGACCUAACUCUAGCAUUGCGCAUCCUCAAACUUUAUAUUUCAGACUUGCUGUCAAGCAAUGUAAGAAUGAAAUGGGCUCUUCUUUAUUUCUUCCCUGUGUUUUUCCAUUUGAUAUUGAUUUUUCUCUGUUGGGCAGAGAUUUCGGCCACCUGAGCAAAAACACUUUUUUGUUUUUAAAUAAUAUUUUUAUUUUAUUUUAUUUUUAUAAGCAAAAAACAGUAACCUACAUGAGAUAAAAAAACACACAUUUACGCACAGACCAAAAAAACAAACAAAAAACGGACUGCCUAAAUUAACAAAUAUAUAUAACAGUGUUCACAAUUGUUUUAUAAUAGCAAAAACAUUCUUUAAACCAGACCUGUACAGCACACGCACAAAAAAUUGUAACUUUUAACUUCAGUGUGCUAUUUAUAUUUCAUUUGACCCUUGAUGUAACUACACGAUGCACAUUUUAGGUUACCUGAGUUUGGCAAAAAAAAAAAUAAAAAAAAUAAAAAAAAAUUAAAUAACCAGAAUGGAACAUCUUGGCAAAAGAGUGUUAAAUGUGCCUGCAUGCUGCUGAUGCAGUGACUUAAUUAUAUUAGAAUGAUUUCUGAAGGGUUAUGCAACACUGAAGAAUGUACUGUUUUAUAGUAUUUUUUUAAUCAAAUAAAUGCAGCCUCUGUGAAAAAUGAUCAGCCCCAAACGUUUGAAAGGUAGUGUAGCACUGACAAUUCCACAAGACCUUUAUGUCCUCCAUUGAUUCUUCUACAUAUUCUGUGGCAAAAGUAGAUGAGUUAGCAGAUGAUAUUGGAAAUACUACCCAUACCCAUACAAACUUUUACUUAAAUAUUCAAAUUAGUGUCAGGAAAUGAAGCAGGGUCAACUUCAAACAUAUUUACGUAGAUUCAAAGUUAAACCCAUCACGAAUAAAAACCUUGUGUUCAUGCCACUGAUUAAAACAGUCACGCUUGGGUUGAAAGCACAAUGGCACUUCACAAGUCACACACACGACUGGAGUUUUCAGGUGGCAGAGCUUGCACUUGCGCCUACCGAGAGCACUGUCCGGCAUGAAGUGCUUGGGCCUGUGGGUUCCUUCAGGAAGUGAUGAUUCAGGAGAUGGAGGAGCUGAGACAGGAGCAGAAGGAGAAGACGAGUUGAGAGCCGCAGGAUUAGCCGAGGAAACCGAUGCAGCUUCAAACCUGUUCUCGCCAUCCAUUUCUAUAAGCUCUAAAACAGCAUCUCGAGGAAUGUCUUCCGUGUCAGAGCUUUUUGUUUUUCUUUGGCCUACCAGUUUAUGCAAAAUGAAAGCAUUAUCUACGGCAAUGUCCAAAGGUGAUAAAAACACACUGAUACCACUUUUUGGUUAUGUAGACUCUGUAUGUCAGUGAUGUUGUUUUUUUCUUUUGGCCACCAGUUUAUGCAAAAUGAAAGCAUUAUCUACGGCAAUGUCCAAAAGGUGAUAAAAAACACACUGAUACCACUUUUUUGGUUUAUGUAGAACUCUGUAAUGUCCAGUGAUGAAACUGGAUGGCUCCACUGUCCCCCACAAUCCUGGGUGGAAAGAAAAAAAGCCAACAUUUUAAAGUUAAACGUUAACUUUAAACUUAUAAUUUAAUUUUUUUUUAAUAUAGGUUCAAAAAGAACUUAAAAGGAAACAAGAUUCAUAUAGUUUACAAGUCAUUUUUAGGAGGGGGUGAUCCUUUUUCCAACUCAGUGAUUCUGUUUUUUUUUUUUUGUUUGUUUGGUGUUAUACCUUUCACUUGGAUGUUCCAAUCUGCACUAAGUAAAUACAGCUGGAUAAAACUACAUCUUUCAUUUUUAAAACUACAUCUUCAGCAACAUUGGAUUAUUUUGAAGGGGGGUAUUUUCUAUACCAAUACACCAUCCAUCAUCUUCGACCCCCCCCCCCCCAAAAAAAAAACCUCGACUCAAAAUACACUCACUGUUACCUGGAACUGGU